GAGAGAGAGAGAACUUGAAGCGCGUGGAAUGAAGCAGAGGGAAAUGUGUAAGCCCCCCGACUGGAUUGGAGCGCGUCGCUUUGUAAACAAUAAUGCCUCCCUCCGCCGUCGGCCUGUAGGUGUUACACUCGGCGGCGCAGAGCAUCUCGAUUUUACGGAGGUCGUUUCACCUUGCCGAGCUAUCCCACGAGCCCAUAGCUACCCUGCUGCUCGCAAAAAGAAAACGAUAUUUCUUCGUGGGAACUCCGACGCAAAUUACAAGAGGCGGUCACGGCAGCUACGGGGGCUGCGGGGAGGGGGGGGCUCUCUUUUGACCUAGCGGGACGCUCAAGUGCUGAUGAAACUUUGAUUCCAGCUUAGUCGCAUUUGAUUCCUCAAGCCAUUAACGCGCGGCUGGUGAUACAAGACUCCCCCGCGUCAUGCGCGGUUAAUGUUUCCCCGAGGGUUACCGGCUCGCAAGUCCGCAAGACCGGUCUCACCGACGAAAACUCGUCCUUUUGCCGACAGACACGCCGCGCCGUCGAGAGUUUCGAGAGAUAUUCCGAGAGUAGUAACGACGCGCGCAGGGCUAAUCACGCGGGUUAAGAGGGCUCAAUCAGGGAGAGAUUACUUAUUUCCAGCCGUGUAACCCCCAAACACACGCCCACGUAGGUAGCCGUCGCGUCGCGCAGAAAACCGGAGGGAACCUAUCUAUCCUUCAUCCGGUGCGGCCGUCGGCGUCGGCGUCAGCGUCAGCGUCGGCGUCGGCGUCGGCGAUGAUCGAUUCGAUUAUCCGUCGCCGAUGUUAAAAUGUUCGAAUGUUGGAGUCUCAUUCAACAGAUUCGCGGGAAAUUCGCUGGGACGAUGAUAGCAUUUGCACGGUUAUUAAUAGCGAUCUUGCGGGACGCUCGCUAACCUCCGGCCGCGCGCGCGGCCUCAUCAUUGCCUCUCAUGCGCGUAGCAUUGCGUAAUGUCGCAUUAAACGUGGGAUCUCGUGCUCCGUCGUGAAAGUAAAGCUACGCUCACAGAGCAUCGAGUGGUAUAACUACGACGGAUACGGCGACGGCGACAGCGACGACGACGAUGACGACGACGAGGUCGUGUCGUGGUUCGAUGAUCAGGCAGCUCCACCGACGACGUCGCGAUGACAACUGAAAGACCGCGUAUAUGUACGUGCGUCAAGGCGGAGCUGAAGAGGCGCCCCCCGGAGUGUGCCUACCGAAGUCGGAACACACCAGGUGUGUCAGAGAGCCUCAAACCGGGGAAAUUCUGCCGGCAGGUGAGAACAACCGUACGUUUGACCUGACUAAGGAUAAUCAUUUCAUGUACGGCGACGGCUGGCCUGGAAGCCGAUACAUGUAUUUACUGACCUUGAAGUUGCCCAAUCGAGAAAUGUCUGCUUACAAUUUGCACGAGAGGGAUACCAACUUUUUGGAGAGAUCGUUUUCUUUCGAUCGAUGUAUCUGUAUCAUACUGACCGCUUUCCGAUAGAAAGCGCGUCUCUAGUGCAAUUUUUUCUUCGGAGCUGAGCACCACUGUUGUUACUUUCACGUCGCUGGAUGAUUCAGGCCUGAUGAAAGAACUUAUGGAAAAUAAUAAAAAUAAUAAGAAGAAGAAGAGUUUUAUCCACUGGCCCCUGUCUACCUUGAGCGGUUCUCCGUCACUCUAUCCUGUCCCUUUCGAAACAUCUUUCUGUCAAACUGCUUUACCGUUGCACAACCCUCCGCUCGCGAUUUUCUCAAUUUUAUUCUUG